rnacentral:rRNA from 1 species
AGCAGCCGCGGUAAUUCCAGCUCCAAUAGCGUAUAUUAAAGUUGUUGCAGUUAAAAAGCUCGUAGUUGAAUUUCGGGAUCAGUACGCUGGUCGUGCCUUCGGUAUGUACUGGUGUUACUGGUUCCUACCUUCUGACGAACCGUCAUGUCAUUAAUUUGGUGUGGCGGGGAAUCAGGACUGUUACUUUGAAAAAAUUAGAGUGUUUAAAGCAGGCUCGCGCUUGAAUACAUUAGCAUGGAAUAAUGAAAUAGGACGUUCGAUCCUAUUUUGUUGGUUUCUAGGAUUGACGUAAUGAUUAAUAGGGAUAGUUGGGGGCAUUAGUAUUCAAUUGUCAGAGGUGAAAUUCUUGGAUUUAUUGAAGACUAACUACUGCGAAAGCAUUUGCCAAGGAUGUUUUCAUUAAUCAAGAACGAAAGUUAGGGGAUCGAAGACGAUCAGAUACCGUCGUAGUCUUAACCAUAAACUAUGCCGACUAGGGAUCGGAUGAUGUUAAUUUUUUAAUGACUCAUUCGGCGCCUUA